rnacentral:rRNA from 1 species
GCAUAUCAAUAAGCGGAGGAAAAGAAACCAACAGGGAUUGCCUCAGUAACGGCGAGUGAAGCGGCAAUAGCUCAAAUUUGAAAGCUGGCGUCUUCGACGUCCGCGUUGUAAUUUGUAGAGGAUGUUUCGGCGAGGGCUCCUGCCUAAGUUCCCUGGAAUGGGACGUCACAGAGGGUGAGAAUCCCGUAUGUGGCGGGCGGCCUUAGCCAUGUGAAACUCCUUCGACGAGUCGAGUUGUUUGGGAAUGCAGCUCUAAAUGGGAGGUAAAUUUCUUCUAAAGCUAAAUACCGGCCAGAGACCGAUAGCGCACAAGUAGAGUGAUCGAAAGAUGAAAAGCACUUUGGAAAGAGAGUUAAAAAGUACGUGAAAUUGUUGAAAGGGAAGCGCUUGCAACCAGACUCGUUCGCAGUUGCUCAGCCCGCCUCUUGGUGGGUGUACUCUUCUGCGGUCGGGCCAGCAUCAGUUCGGGCGGUCGGAUAAAGGUGUCGGGAAUGUAGCACCCUUCGGGGUGUGUUAUAGCCCGGCGCGGAAUGCGGCCAGCCUGGACUGAGGAUCUCGCUUCGGCAAGGAUGCUGGCGUAAUGGUUGUAAGCGGCCCGUCUUGAAACACGGACCAAGGAGUCUAACAUCUAUGCGAGUGUUUGGGUGUCAAACCCAUGCGCGUAAUGAAAGUGAACGGAGGUGGGAACCCGCAAGGGUGCACCAUCGACCGAUCCUGAUGUCUUCGGAUGGAUUUGAGUAAGAGCAUAGCUGUUGGGACCCGAAAGAUGGUGAACUAUGCCUGAAUAGGGUGAAGCCAGAGGAAACUCUGGUGGAGGCUCGCAGCGGUUCUGACGUGCAAAUCGAUCGUCAAAUUUGGGUAUAGGGGCGAAAGACUAAUCGAACCAUCUAGUAGCUGGUUCCUGCCGAAGUU